GAUGAAGAACGUAGCGAAAUGCGAUAAGUAAUGUGAAUUGCAGAUUUCAGUGAAUCAUCGAAUCUUUGAACGCACAUUGCGCCCCCCGGCAUUCCGGGGAGCAUGCCUGUUCGAGCGUCUCUUGGAAUACCCCUCACGCCGGCGGAGGCGUGGUCAUGGCGGCGGUGGCGUGCCCCGAGAGGGAGGCCACCGCGCUGGAAUCCAUGGGCGGACGCCUGCCGCGUGGCCGAGCGUGAUAAGACGCACUGGCGCUCGCGCGCGGCGAGGCUGCCGGCCCUGGCCCGCUCGUCGGGCGGGGACAGCAACACUUGGGAACUCCUCGAAUCAGGUAGGGAUACCCGCUGAACUUAAGCAUAUCAAUAAGCGGAGGA
rnacentral:misc_RNA from 1 species